rnacentral:rRNA from 1 species
CACGUAGGGUGCGAGCGUUGUCCGGAAUUAUUGGGCGUAAAGAGCUCGUAGGCGGUGUGUCGCGUCGGCCGUGAAAACUGUGGCUUAACUAUGGGCUUGCGGUCGAUACGGGCAUCACUGGAGUUCGGCAGGGGAGACUGGAAUUCCUGGUGUAGCGGUGAAAUGCGCAGAGUAUCAGGAGGAACACCGUGGCGAAGGCGGGUCUCGUGGGCCGAUGACUGACGCUGGAGGAGCGAAAGCGUGGGAGCGAA